UACGUAGGGUCCGAGCGUUGUCCGGAAUUACUGGGCGUAAAGAGCUCGUAGGCGGUUUGUCGCGUUGUUCGUGAAAACUCACAGCUCAACUGUGGGCGUGCGGGCGAUACGGGCAGGCUAGAGUUCGGUAGGGGAGACUGGAAUUCCUGGUGUAGCGGUGAAAUGCGCAGAUAUCAGGAGGAACACCGGUGGCGAAGGCGGGUCUCUGGGCCGAUACUGACGCUGAGGAGCGAAAGCGUGGGGAGCGAACAGG
rnacentral:rRNA from 1 species